UAUUCUUUAUUGUUUCCUGGAUUUCCAGUUCAUCAAUUUCUGCUCCCAUCAUUUGUAUUUACUUCCAUCAGUUUGUUCGUUUUUUCCUUCUGACUGACUUCAACUUUUUGGCAAUCCUAUCUACUCUUCAGGCCUUGUAGUUAACUUGCCUCCUCCAGAAGCACCAUUGAGAAGCCCUAAUCCUUGGAGAAAGGACAAAUAUCCAAAUGUUUUACAGAAGGACUCUACAGACCAGAUACAAGUUCUAGGAAAGCUCACUUCGGAAAACCAGGAAGGUGACAGGCUUGGCUCUGCCAGUCCUCUCUACCAGAUCCUUAUCAAGAUAACACUUGACUGCAAAUGGUUUUAUAAAGUAAAUCUCCUCGAAAGCCAAUUAUUUUCCUCAGAAGCUGGGAGAGAGGAGACCGUUCAUGCAGCACCUGCAUUCUAACCACCCAGGGGAGCAAACUCUCUGAUGGUGUUUGCCCUGUAAAUAUAACAAUUAGGGCAAUAAAUGUAGUUUUGUAGUUACUCACUCAUCAGACAUCUUGCCAUCUUCUUUUGUGUGUGGAAGACAGUAGAGUUCCAUCCAAUGUGGCUCAAAAUGUCCCAUCUCCCUGAAGCCCUAGACCUCUUGCAAGUUACUUUGCCCCUUGAUACCUAGAUUGUCCAUCUUUAAAAUGUUGGAAAUAAUGGUUCCUUCCUACCUCACUGUAUUUCUUUCAGGCUCUCCUGAGAUAAUGCAUGUAAAGAAUGAAUGCCAGGCAUAUAUAAAGUGCACAGUAAAAACUGGUGAUUAAUGAAAAAAAAUGAAAAUAAAACAUAUAAUUUCCUUGAACUUAGCUCCCAAAAUUCAAAUAGUCAUGCAGUGCUUCCAGUUUUGCUUUAGGUAUUUCUAAUUCUAUCCCCUUUAUUGCAUCCUCUCAAUUACUGUGUUUGUUUAGACCCUCAGCCUCUCACCUGAAGUACUCUGAAGUCCUAACAGAUCUCCCUACCUCAAGUCUUGGGGUGUCGCCUCCUCUAAAUUCACUCACCACACUGCAUGCAUAGAGGUAUGUGUCUAAAAGUCUGUUAUGACCAGUCAUACCUCUGCCUUGAAGCCCAAAGUCUCCCCAAAUCUAUAAGAUCAGACUUUCCUAGUAAAGCAUUCAAAACUGUACAGAAUUCUUGGGUGCCUGUACUUAGUGCCUUGUACUUAGUGUCUUGCAACACCCUUCCUUUUUUUUAAACACUGAGUAACUCAAUCCUCCUAACACUGCAUGAAUUCUGAGGCUACUUAUAAGACGCUUUGCAGAUUCAUCUGGAUCUUUUGAGAUACUCACUCACUGGUAGUAUCCAGCCAGGCUCCAUACUGUGAGGACAUGGACAGAUGAAUUAUAGAAAAAUCAAGUUAACAGUCCUAGCUGACCUCCUAGAUACUGACCAAGAUCAACCGCCAGCCAUGAGCCAUCUUGGAUAACCAGUCCUGUUGAGCCUGAAGGUGAUUCCACUCCUGGCCAUCAUCCGACUGCAAUCACAUAAGAGACCCACCCCAAAGAGGACUUCCCAGGUUCACUUCUUUCUACCCUGCUACAAACCCAGGGGAUUCCAUCAGGGGGUUCCAUUGACACCUGACUUCCCACUGGUUCAGACAAUGGAAGGCUCUAGCAAGAGGGGCAGCAGAUCAGAAUCACCUGAGGAGCUCCUUGAUGACCGGGACUUGGCACCGCCCAGAGCAGGGCUGUGGGGAGUGAGGUGAGGCCUGGUGGUCCAGGACGUGGUGGAGAAGAGAGACGGAGGCCGAGUUGCUGGGUGCAGCUGAACCUUCCCAAAGCUAUUCCACCUCCCCAUUCAUGACUUGACCGGGGCUAAAGAACACCUAAGCUAAUUAACUCCUGGUGAGUCGCCGGAUGGUGCAGCUGGAGAUGCAGUUUGGGGAGCCUGGCUUUAGGACUCCCUUCUGAGGCACAGCGUCGGUAGGUGACCGUGGGUUCAGGAGCCAGAGGAGUGUGGAGUCACAUGGCUCAGCUUCCUGCCUCUCAUCCCCACCCCCUCAUAAUAACCCUGGAAAGCCCAUUUCUGGGCGGUGGCUGGGCUGGCGCAAGCUGAGUUGAACGGAAUCUGGAGGAGGGAGAGAAGGUGAGGGUUUAUCUCCAAGAAGUCAAAAUCUGUUGUCAAUUCCAAGGGGCCAAGAAACAAGAGGCAAAACAACAGGGUCCGAGCAAGGGAAAACACAAGCAGUUGAUGUGGGAAUGAAGAAAGAUAGGGACUUGUUCUCAGUAGUGAAGGCAAGCCUAAAGCUCGGUUUGUGUUCUCUAGGGAGUGGAUGGGGAACAGCUGUUGGCCCUGGAGAGAUUGGAUGCGCACGUCUCGUGCAGAAGUUCAGCGUUAGGACAACUGCAGCUGACUGCAUCUUGGCUGAAAACCCACUUCUGCUUCUGCAGGCCCCACUAAGUAUGGCCUGAUAGAAAGCCCUGGACCCCCGCGGGGAAAGAAGUGGGGAGCAAGGGAAGAGGUAACCCUGAGGACCAGCCUCUGCCAUCAACUUGUCUUACUCCCAACAGAACACCUGUGGCUACCCUGAUAUUUUAUUUAUAUUUGUUCACUGUGUCUUCCUCACACUGUCAGGUUACCUUCAUCAAAAAGGAAUUGUGAGUCUUUCCCACUGUGUUCUCUUAACAAAAGUCAGAUAAAUGGUUUGAUGCCUCGUACGUUCAGAGCAGACGCUGCUUUACCACAGUCUGAGUUCGGGGUACUUUCCUCUGACAAAAAGCAGCUUACAAAAUGGACACAUGAGGCUCUUCCUUAGGAUUUUAGGCUGCUUUCUUCUCUUUGGCUCCGUACAUAUUAAUUAAUGGUUUUUGUAAGGAUCCAAGAGACCCUCUGGUGAUGACCUUUUUCCCUAGAUAACAAUGAGCUAGUGGAAGUGUUUUUUCCUGAGAGUCUGUGGAACAAGGGCCGUGAUGACACCCACAUCCUCACUCCCUUCACAGGGUGAAUGUCUACCCUGCUGAGAGGCCCCAAGCAUGGUGGGUCUGAGUGCAGACUGGUAGUCUCGGGACAGGCUCUGCUUCUUACGGCGUGACCCUGACCCCCGCCUCCAGUUCUCUCACCUGGAACACAGGAUGAUAACAACCAACUAUACCUACUUCUAGGACGGGUUCUGGAGACGACGUAAUUUAGUCUGUGUGAGGUGCUGUACCCCAGAAAGCACUGUGCAUGCACUCACCCUCAUCAUUAUUAGUGUGGGAGCAGCCGACAUACAGGCUGUCUCAUCAAAGUCAUUAUGGUACUUGUGACUCCUGGGUAUUGAAAAGAUUUUCAUGACGCCCUACAUGGUCAUUAAUGCACAUUUGUUUCAGAGCUUCUAUGUCACUGAGUGAAAAAUGGUGGAGCAGGACAACUUUGGAGCUGCUCUCACCAGGAAAGCUAUUUAAUGGCAUUACCUUAAAAAACUCAUGGUGCUGCUUUUGCUUACUAGAGGAAACCCUCUUCCAGUUACUACCCUACCUUAAGGACCCUUGUUCACACCCUUGUACAACACCCCUCCCCACACACCCUUGAAUGUGGAUGGGACAUGAGACUUGCUUGUAGCCGGUAGAAUAUAGCAAAAGUGAAGGAAUUUUGCAGAUGUAAUUAAGCUCCCAAAUAAGUUGACUUGAGUUCAUCAAAAAGGAGAGCACCGGCGUGGGCCUGAAUCAAUCAGGGGAAGACCCCUAAAAGAGACACUGAAGCCCUCCCUCAGGUGAGAGACUCAUUACAAGACUCUGGCCUUGAAGGCUACGAGUUCUCUAGCUGCAAAGAAAUAAAUUCUGCCGUCCCUCAUUCCAGGCUAAGGAAGUGUAGACGUGGUUCUUGCUCUGGUUGAGUGAGCCUCUGAUGAGAACGUAGCACAGCUGAUUACCGUCCUGUGCGACUCUGGGCAGAGGACGCAGCUUAGUCAUGCCCAAACUCCUGAUCCCUGGAAACUGUGAGAUAAUAAGUGUGUGCUGUGUUAAGCCCCUACACUUGAAGAAAUUUGUUAGGCACCAAUAGAAACUAGCACAGCUUCAAUUAGGAAAUGACUCUUUUCUCCCCCUACAGUGGCCUGCAUCCUUCUUUUUGUUACACAGAGAGAUCAUACCCAGACAAGAGCACAGCUAUGGGAGAAAAUACUGAGAGAGAGCUGUAUUGUCAAGCAAGACAAAAACUAUUAAGUUAAAAAAGCAGAACAGGAAGUCAGUGUGCUGAGGAUUGUACUGUAGUAAGAGACCACUGUGGUACU